rnacentral:rRNA from 1 species
GACGGAGGAUGCAAGCGUUAUCCGGAAUUAUUGGGCGUAAAGCGUCCGCAGGUGGACAUACAAGUCUGCUGUCAAAGUGCAGAGCUUAACUCUGUAAAGGCGGUGGAAACUGUAGGUCUUGAGUAUGGUAGGGGUAGAGGGAAUUCCCGGUGUAGCGGUGAAAUGCGCAGAUAUCGGGAAGAACACCCGUGGCGAAGGCGGCUCUCUGGGACGGUACUGACGCUGAGACGCGAAAGCGUGGGGAGCGAACAGG